rnacentral:rRNA from 1 species
ACCUGCCCUUUAGACGGGGACAACAUUCCGACAGGAGUGCUAAUACCGGAUGUGAUCAUCGUGCCGCAUGGCAGGAUGAAGAAAGAUGGCCUCUACAAGUAAGCUAUCGCUAAAGGAUGGGCCUGCGUCUGAUUAGCUAGUUGGUAGUGUAACGGACUACCAAGGCGAUGAUCAGUAGCCGGUCUGAGAGGAUGAACGGCCACAUUGGGACUGAGACACGGCCCAAACUCCUACGGGAGGCAGCAGUGGGGAAUCUUCCGCAAUGGACGAAAGUCUGACGGAGCAACGCCGCGUGAGUGAUGAAGGAUUUCGGUCUGUAAAGCUCUGUUGUUUAUGACGAACGUGCAGUGUGUGAACAAUGCAUUGCAAUGACGGUAGUAAACGAGGAAGCCACGGCUAACUACGUGCCAGCAGCCGCGGUAAUACGUAGGUGGCGAGCGUUGUCCGGAAUUAUUGGGCGUAAAGAGCAUGUAGGCGGCUUAAUAAGUCGAGCGUGAAAAUGCGGGGCUCAACCCCGUAUGGCGCUGGAAACUGUUAGGCUUGAGUGCAGGAGAGGAAAGGGGAAUUCCCAGUGUAGCGGUGAAAUGCGUAGAUAUUGGGAGGAACACCAGUGGCGAAGGCGCCUUUCUGGACUGUGUCUGACGCUGAGAUGCGAAAGCCAGGGUAGCGAACGGGAUUAGAUACC